rnacentral:tRNA from 2 species
GCUGAUAUGGCCGAGUCGUUAAGGCGAGUGAUUUGAAUUUGGUUCAACUAUCACUUGGGCGUUGCCCGCGUAGGUUCAAAUCCUGCUGUCAGCG